GGGUUGUGAGGUUAAGCGACUAAGCGUACACGGUGGAUGCCCUGGCAGUCAGAGGCGAUGAAGGACGUGCUAAUCUGCGAAAAGCGUCGGUAAGGUGAUAUGAACCGUUAUAACCGGCGAUGUCCGAAUGGGGAAACCCAGUGUGAUUCGUCACACUAUCGUUAACUGAAUACAUAGGUUAACGAGGCGAACCGGGGGAACUGAAACAUCUAAGUACCCCGAGGAAAAGAAAUCAACCGAGAUUCCCCCAGUAGCGGCGAGCGAACGGGGAGCAGCCCAGAGUCUGAAUCAGCUUGUGUGUUAGUGGAACGGUCUGGAAAGUCCGACGGUACAGGGUGAUAGUCCCGUACACCAAAAUGCACAGGCUGUGAACUCGAAGAGUAGGGCGGGACACGUGGUAUCCUGUCUGAAUAUGGGGGGACCAUCCUCCAAGGCUAAAUACUCCUGACUGACCGAUAGUGAACCAGUACCGUGAGGGAAAGGCGAAAAGAACCCCGGCGAGGGGAGUGAAAAAGAACCUGAAACCGUGUACGUACAAGCAGUGGGAGCACCUUCGGGUGUGACUGCGUACCUUUUGUAUAAUGGGUCAGCGACUUAUAUUCUGUAGCAAGGUUAACCGUAUAGGGGAGCCGCAGGGAAACCGAGUCUUAACUGGGCGUUAAGUUGCAGGGUAUAGACCCGAAACCCGGUGAUCUAGCCAUGGGCAGGUUGAAGGUUGGGUAACACUAACUGGAGGACCGAACCGACUAAUGUUGAAAAAUUAGCGGAUGACUUGUGGCUGGGGGUGAAAGGCCAAUCAAACCGGGAGAUAGCUGGUUCUCCCCGAAAGCUAUUUAGGUAGCGCCUCGUGAAUUCAUCUUCGGGGGUAGAGCACUGUUUCGGCUAGGGGGUCAUCCCGACUUACCAACCCGAUGCAAACUACGAAUACCGAAGAAUGUUAUCACGGGAGACACACGGCGGGUGCUAACGUCCGUCGUGAAGAGGGAAACAACCCAGACCGCCAGCUAAGGUCCCAAAGUCAUGGUUAAGUGGGAAACGAUGUGGGAAGGCACAGACAGCCAGGAUGUUGGCUUAGAAGCAGCCAUCAUUUAAAGAAAGCGUAAUAGCUCACUGGUCGAGUCGGCCUGCGCGGAAGAUGUAACGGGGCUAAACCAUGCACCGAAGCUGCGGCAGCGACACUAUGUGUUGUUGGGUAGGGGAGCGUUCUGUAAGCCUGCGAAGGUGACCUGUGAGGGUUGCUGGAGGUAUCAGAAGUGCGAAUGCUGACAUAAGUAACGAUAAAGCGGGUGAAAAGCCCGCUCGCCGGAAGACCAAGGGUUCCUGUCCAACGUUAAUCGGGGCAGGGUGAGUCGACCCCUAAGGCGAGGCCGAAAGGCGUAGUCGAUGGGAAACAGGUUAAUAUUCCUGUACUUGGUGUUACUGCGAAGGGGGGACGGAGAAGGCUAUGUUAGCCGGGCGACGGUUGUCCCGGUUUAAGCAUGUAGGCUGGUUGUCCAGGCAAAUCCGGAUAAUCAAGGCUGAGGUGUGAUGACGAGGCACUACGGUGCUGAAGUAACAAAUGCCCUGCUUCCAGGAAAAGCCUCUAAGCAUCAGGUAACAUCAAAUCGUACCCCAAACCGACACAGGUGGUCAGGUAGAGAAUACCAAGGCGCUUGAGAGAACUCGGGUGAAGGAACUAGGCAAAAUGGUGCCGUAACUUCGGGAGAAGGCACGCUGGUGUGUAGGUGAAGUCCCUGCGGAUGGAGCUGAGACCAGUCGAAGAUACCAGCUGGCUGCAACUGUUUAUUAAAAACACAGCACUGUGCAAACACGAAAGUGGACGUAUACGGUGUGACGCCUGCCCGGUGCCGGAAGGUUAAUUGAUGGGGUUAUCCGUAAGGAGAAGCUCUUGAUCGAAGCCCCGGUAAACGGCGGCCGUAACUAUAACGGUCCUAAGGUAGCGAAAUUCCUUGUCGGGUAAGUUCCGACCUGCACGAAUGGCGUAAUGAUGGCCAGGCUGUCUCCACCCGAGACUCAGUGAAAUUGAACUCGCUGUGAAGAUGCAGUGUACCCGCGGCAAGACGGAAAGACCCCGUGAACCUUUACUAUAGCUUGACACUGAACAUUGAGCCUUGAUGUGUAGGAUAGGUGGGAGGCUUUGAAGCGUGGACGCCAGUCUGCGUGGAGCCAACCUUGAAAUACCACCCUUUAAUGUUUGAUGUUCUAACGUUGGCCCCUUAUCGGGGUUGCGGACAGUGUCUGGUGGGUAGUUUGACUGGGGCGGUCUCCUCCCAAAGCGUAACGGAGGAGCACGAAGGUUAGCUAAUCCUGGUCGGACAUCAGGAGGUUAGUGCAAUGGCAUAAGCUAGCUUGACUGCGAGCGUGACGGCGCGAGCAGGUGCGAAAGCAGGUCAUAGUGAUCCGGUGGUUCUGAAUGGAAGGGCCAUCGCUCAACGGAUAAAAGGUACUCCGGGGAUAACAGGCUGAUACCGCCCAAGAGUUCAUAUCGACGGCGGUGUUUGGCACCUCGAUGUCGGCUCAUCACAUCCUGGGGCUGAAGUAGGUCCCAAGGGUAUGGCUGUUCGCCAUUUAAAGUGGUACGCGAGCUGGGUUUAGAACGUCGUGAGACAGUUCGGUCCCUAUCUGCCGUGGGCGCUGGAGAAUUGAGGGGGGCUGCUCCUAGUACGAGAGGACCGGAGUGGACGCAUCACUGGUGUUCGGGUUGUCAUGCCAAUGGCACUGCCCGGUAGCUAAAUGCGGAAGAGAUAAGUGCUGAAAGCAUCUAAGCACGAAACUUGCCCCGAGAUGAGUUCUCCCUGAGACUUUAAGUCUCCUGAAGGAACGUUAAAGACGAUGACGUUGAUAGGCCGGGUGUGUAAGCGCAGCGAUGCGUUGAGCUAACCGGUACUAAUGAACCGUGAGGCUUAACCUUACAACGCCGAAG
rnacentral:rRNA from 2 species